rnacentral:rRNA from 1 species
AUUGAACGCUGGCGGCAGGCCUAACACAUGCAAGUCGAGCGGUAGCACAGGGAGCUUGCUCCUGGGUGACGAGCGGCGGACGGGUGAGUAAUGUCUGGGAAACUGCCUGGUGGAGGGGGAUAACUACUGGAAACGGUAGCUAAUACCGCAUAACGUCGCAAGACCAACGAGGGGGACCUUCGGGCCUCUUGCCAUCAGAUGUGCCCAGAUGGGAUUAGCUAGUAGGUGGGGUAACGGCUCACCUAGGCGACGAUCCCUAGCUGGUCUGAGAGGAUGACCAGCCACACUGGAACUGAGACACGGUCCAGACUCCUACGGGAGGCAGCAGUGGGGAAUAUUGCACAAUGGGCGCAAGCCUGAUGCAGCCAUGCCGCGUGUAUGAAGAAGGCCUUCGGGUUGUAAAGUACUUUCGGCGGGGAGGAAGGUGUUGAGGUUAAUAACCUCAGCAAUUGACGUUACCCGCAGAAGAAGCACCGGCUAACUCCGUGCCAGCAGCCGCCGUAAAAC